CUUGUAAGAGAGAAGCAGGAGGAUCAGUCAGAGGAAGGAGAUGUAAAAAUGGAGAGGGUCAGAGAGGAGAGGAAAUGCUACCCUGUAGCUUUGAAUACGGAGAAGAGUCUAGGAAUGCUGACAAUCUCUAGAAGCUGAAGGAGAGAAAGAAGUAAAGACAAGAAAGCAGAUUCUCCCCAGAGCCUCCAGAGUGGAACGUAGCCUUAUCAACAUCCUGACUCUAGCAAGGAAAUAUCCAGAAUCAACAAAUUCCUGAAGACAGAAAGCAGAUCGACGGUUGCCAGGCAAUGGAAGGAGAGGAGAUGGGGUGACUUUUUAAUAGACAGAAGAUUUCCUUUGGAUCAAAGAAAAUAUUCAGAGACUGAAAUAGUGAAAGACAAAGGGAACUAAAUUAACAUUUAAAUCAAAGUGGAAUAAGCUUCCGGACCCAUGCCCCACUGAUUUCUAACUUCUAGUUCUUCAGUCCAGAGCCUUCCAGUUAAAACUAUUUGGUUUGGGGGUAACUAAUUAUUUGGAUAUUUGCUACACAUUUCCAAAUAACAAGCUUAUUGUGCACUGCACCUAUUGAUCUAUACAUUUUGAUAUUAUCUAUUGACUUCCAACUAUAGUGGAUGAGUAUUUAGCUCUGUUUUCAGUAAUUGUAUAUUUAAUAUCCAAGAGCUCUUUCUUAUUCUCUGAUUUUGUGUUUUUACAGUACAGUAUUCUUCCUAAUCAAUGCAAUAUCUUUCUUCUCUCUCUGAGAAUGUACACUAUAACUAUUUUACAUUCUGUUCUGCCCCUGCUUUGCCAUUUUCAUUCAAGUUUUGUUUCCUUCCUAUUUAUUUGAUUUCUUCUCUGUCCUUUAUAUUGAAGACUUUCUUCAAAUGUCUGUGAUCCUGAACUGACUCAUCACGUUCAGGAGUGAGGCACUAAAAAGUCGGCUGGCAGUUGAUAUCAUGGCAGAGUAGAAGGCCACGUGAAACUUUUAUUAGGGAAGCUCAUCUGUUUAAGUCUUUUCUCUGGGAGCACUUGGUUUCUGCUGGGAAAAAUUCUUUCAGUUCCAACCUGGUUUCUGUCCCUGUUUGUGGAAGGAGUGGGGUAAUGUAUCUACUUGCUAAACCUGCAGAAUUCCACCAUGAAUUAUUUCCUUUGCCCUCCACUGUGCGCCUUUUUUGGUUCAGUUUCUCCAAAUAAUGAACUGCUGGCCUCCUGUAGCCAUCUGGCUGCUCCCAGGCGAGAGCAGGGCCAGGAGUUUAACAGGCUUUCCCCGAGUCCCUAAUUCCAGCCUAGGGCUCUGUCCCCACCUUCCCCAGCCCCUGGUGCCUCUCAGCCUUCCCUUCCUGGAGGUCUGCCAGGCAACGGAGUGUAUUUCUCAGUGACAUUCCCUCUGCUAGAACUUAGUCAUCACUUCACUGUUUCUUUUAUCCUCUACUACCAGCAAUUUGCUGGCUUUUUUUUUUUUUUGCUCACAUUUUUAUUCUUUUACUUUAGUGGAGUUUCUCUAGCGAGGUAAGAUAACUUUAUACAUUUAAUUCACCAUUUUAGCUGGAAAUCAGGUGUGUUUCUUCAGGUGGGAUAUAUAGCUCUUUUACUUACCUGUCUUAUGCAUUCCUCACAAAAAUUCUGUAAAGGUGGGUCAUGGGAUUGUCAGUAAUUCUGUAGCUAAGCAAAUGGAAAUUCAAAAAGGAAAUUAACUUGCCCAAUACCACAUGGCUGUGACGAACCAGGAUUUGAACGCAAGCCUUUUAACUCUGCAAGUCUUUAACUCUUUAACUCAAGUCUUAGUAAUAAUAAUACAAAGAAAGGCUAAUUUUCUAUGUGUGGUAGGCAGACUAACAGCCUUCAAAGAUGCUCAUGUCCUAAUCCCUGGAAGGUGUGAAUAUGUUAUGAUACAUGGAGAAGAAUUAAGAUUGCAGAUGGAAUUAAGUUUGAUAAUCAUAUAAUCAUCUAGGAAGAUUAUUUCCGGUUAUUUGGGUGGGCCCAAUGUAAUCACAGGAUUCCUUAAAAGUGGAAGAGGAGGAUACAAAAGAGGAGAGUGUCAAAGAGAGACCUGACAGCAAAAGAAAGUCACAGAGAGAUCAUUGUUUUGGCUUUGAAGACAGAAGAGGGCCCACAAGCCAGGAAAUGUGAAUGUCCUUUAAAAGCUAGAAAAAUACCCUCUACCCAGAGUCUCCAGAAAAGAACACAGCCUCAACAGCAAUUUAGUUUUAACCCAGUGAGACCUGUGUCAAAUAUUUGUCCUACAGAACUGUAAGAUAAUAAAUUUUAUGGUUUAUAUG
ensembl:lncRNA